rnacentral:rRNA from 1 species
UACAGAGGUCUCAAGCGUUGUUCGGAAUCACUGGGCGUAAAGCGUAUGUAGGCGGGUUUUUAAGUCAGGUGUGAAAUCCCACGGCUCAACCGUGGAAUUGCAUUUGAAACUGGAAAUCUUGAGUGUGGGAGAGAUUGGUAGAAUACCUGGUGUAGUGGUGAAAUACGUAGAUAUCAGGUGGAAUACCGGUGGCGAAGGCGGCCAAUUGGCCCAACACUGACGCUGAGAUACGAAAGCGUGGGGAUCAAACAGG